AUGUAUCUAUUUGGCUGUUACUGUGUGCUGCCAAAGUUUCCACUACAGAUACAAAAAGCAAAUGUCCUUGCAUUUUCUGUGAUCAUGGCAGCCAAGAUUAAAUGGGAGAAUACAGAG
ensembl:snoRNA